UUCGCCACUGGUGCGCUACUCUGAGUGGUUGGCCAACAUGGUGAUGGUCGACAAAGCAUAUAACAGUUGGCGCAUGUGCGUCGAUUUUACGAACCUGAACGUAACGUACCUCAGAUACCAUUACUAUUGCUACCUUCGGUGAGUCAUCUAAUGGACAAAUGCUUAAAAUCCGCACACCUCAGUUUUAUGGAUGUUCGCUCAAGGUACAACCAAAUCCCAAUAACAUACAAAGACAAGACGAAGAAAAAAUAUUUUUCAUUACCCAGAAAAGACACUUUCUAUUCCGUAGUCAUGUCUUUCGGAUUAAGUAAUUCUGUAGCCAUUUUCGUAGUCGACAGGUGACACAGUGAAUUCGUUGUCUACUGGAAAAUAACGACACUUGAUCUAAGAAUUGAAAUAUUCACAUAAUCAUGUGAGAUAAUGGAUGAUCAGAUGAUACAAAAUUAUCUAAUCAUCUACGUUGAGAUCUAAAUUUAUUACUUAUAUAAAUUAAAAAGGAUGUAGAGUGUAAAUCUUAACUAAGAUUAAACAUAAAUAUUUAUAACAUUCAUCUCUGUCAUGGGCCCAUGACUAAGGGUGAGCGGGGACGGGUCCCAAAAAUUGUCCCCGGUCAAAUUGGGAAUGGGAACAGGGAUCUUCAGUUAAAAUAUUAUUUAUUAUUAUUAUUAUUAUUUUAAACAAUAAUUUACUAAAAAUACUUAUGUUAGUAUGUUACUACUAUCGUGAAUAAUCAAAGUCAAACAGAGACUAUCGUGAAUCGCGGGAUGUACUGAAAUCGUCCAUCCUUUUAUUAAUUAAUAUUUAAUAAAAAAUAUCAUAAGAAUAAAGUAAACAAGCGGUGGAACAAGAUUAUCUUUUGUCUUAUCUUAGUUAUUUCAUUUAAACAAGUGGUAGAACAAGCGGUUAAUACAGUAAUACCUUAGUUAUUUCAUUUUAAAAAAAUUUAGACAUGCGACAGCUUACCUUAGGACAGCGGUGGAACAAGAUGUCGACGCUCGGCGGUGAAACAAUGUUACAAAAAUAAGAACGAAAUUAAUUUGAUUAGGUUUAACUUUUAAGUUUUUAAUUAGGAAUUUAGGAUAUAGAUUUAAUUUUACAAUUUUAAAUAUAAAUUUAUCUAUUUAAUAUAUUGUAUAAGGUUAUUUAUAUAAAUUAUACAAUAUAAUUUUUUUAUAGGGUCUAUAUGCAAUUUUCUUCGGAUACGGGGAUUAUCCGGAAAUGUAAUCCCCGUACCUGGAAAUGACCGAGGAUUUCGGUUGGGGUGGGGAUUUUUCUGUUUCGGGUUACGAUUACCCCUACCCAUGACAAGAUCAUGUAAUAGGAACAAAAGGGUCAACUUUUCAAAAAUGACAGGAAAAAGUCAAAAAUGAUGGACUCGAAUUUACACAAUUGUAUGGAAGAUUUAAAAAGACAAGUGGGUGAUAUCAUAGAAGGGAUAUUCAAAUUCAGAAAAU
rnacentral:lncRNA from 1 species